rnacentral:lncRNA from 1 species
UUCACUUUUCUUCUACACACUCUCUCUCCCCUCCGCUACUUUCUUCUUUGCGCAGCAGCCUCCUCUUUCUCUCAGUCUUCAAUUCUCUCAAACUCUCUGUCUCUCAUUCCCAGCGCGACCCUUCUCACUCUCAAUCACAGCAAAAGGUUAGUCUCACUCACACUUUGUAGUUUAAUUUUCUGUUCGAUUCCUUUUCUUUUGAUCUGAUCCCCUAUAAUUUUUUUCCCUUCUUGUUUAGAUUUAUUUUUGAAUUUGAUUUAUUUUGUAAUUGAUUUUAUUCUGUCUGUUUUGGAUAUUUUGAUUUUGCUUCUUGUGAAUUGUUUGCGAUUUUAUUCGAUUUGUGUUUUGGGAUUUUAGGAUUAGGGUUAUAUUUUUAACGUGUUUGACUGGAUGUGAUUAUUCGGUUUCGGUUUGAAGUAUGUUUGGUUGCUGAGGAAUUAUGGGAAAUGAAGGGGUUCAGAGGUUGACUAUUUUAGGGCUCUAUUUUUGUUGGGUUUUCAUCCUCUGGGUUAUUAAGGUUUGGUGAUUUUUUUUUUUUGUCUAAUUGGAUUAUGUAACAGAGAUAUAUCGCGGCUUACAUAGUUUUAGAGGUUUGGUUUGAAUGUUUGCUUUUUGUGGUUGUUUGGACCUUUUGACUUUAAUUAUCUAGAAGUAUAUACAUGUAGGGUUGAGUGGAGCUCCUUGGAGCCCCUUUAGGCUUUAGUUGUAGAAAGAAAAAAAGGGAUUGCAUUUGCAAGCUGUUGAUGCACAAAACUAGAUGUCUUGGAACAACGUAAAUCCGACCGUGAAUCUGCAAGUAAUGUAAAUAACACAAGAUGUAUCGUGGUUCACCCCAAGGUUUGGGCUACGUCCACACUGAUUGUAUUGUAUUUCUCGGUUGAAGAGGGAGAGAGAGAGCUUAGAGCUUAGGGGGUGUGAGGAAGCUUAGGGUUUGUGAGGGUGAGGAGGCCCUUUUAUAGAAUAAGGGCUCCUCCCCUAAUUACAUAUUUGCCCCUUCCUUUAUUACAUAAUUACAUUUAAGUCCCUCGAGUAUUUAUACGAGGUCUAAAUAUGAGGCCCUAAAUAUGGUAUAAACAGUAGUCCCCCAAGUCUUCAGUCAAGAGAGUCUUUUGGCUGGAGACUUGAAAUUCAGUCCAUGUGUGGGCUGAAGUAACUAGAUGUUGUCUUGAACCGAUGUUCGAUAUGAGGCAGUGCUCAAUCUGAAAUGAUGCUCAACUAGAAGUAGCACACGCUGCUCGGCUGCUCGGCUCGUGGCUUAUGUUGCCUUGGCUAGCUCAGCUUGCGGCGUUUGAAGGUGAAUGAGUCCCUUUUAUAGAAUAAGGGCUCACUCCUCAAUACAUGGAUGAUGGGCUAGAGUUGAUGCUUUCUAAUGGUGGUGAGGGGAGUCCCUUUUAUAGAAUAAGGGCUCGUUCCUCAGUACAUGAAUAAUGGGUUAUGAGUGAUGCUCGUUGCGAGGCGGUUGCUCAGCUGGCGGCGGUGCUCUCUAACGAAGGUGAGGGAGUCCCUUUUAUAAAAUAAGGGUUCGCUCCUCAAUACAUAAGUGAUGGGCUAAGUCCCCCAAGUAUUUUUCACGAGUGCUCUCUAAUGAAAGUGAGGGAGUCCCUUUUAUAAAAUAAGGGUUCGCUCCUCAAUACAUAAGUGAUGGGCUAAGUCCCCCAAGUAUUUUUCAUGAGUGCUCUCUAAUGAAAGUGAGGGAGUCCCUUUUAUAAAAUAAGGGAUCGCUCCUCAGUAUAUAGCUAAUGGGCUAAGUCCCUCGAGUAUUUUUCAUGAGUGCUCUCUAAUGAAAGUGAGGGAGUCCCUUUUAUAAAAUAAGGGAUCGCUCCUCAGUACAUAGAUAAUGGGCUAAGUCCCCAAAGUAUUUUCAUGAGGCCUAGUUGAGGCCCAAUAUAUGGUACAUAAUGUUGUUCCCCAAGUCUUCGGUCAAUAGAGUCUGUUGGCUGGAGACUUUAAAUUGAAUCCAUGUAUGGGCUGAAGUGGCGGUUGUUCGGAGGCGGUAUUUGUACACCCUGCACUGAAGCUUUUUAGGGGAAGCUUUGAAAGUGAGGCUUUGAAGCUAGAGCUCUGUGAAUGAAGCUUUUGAAGCUAGAGCUUUUGUAAAUGAAUCGUUUAAAGCUAAUGGACAUGAGUGAUGCUCAUGAAUGUUUAUGUUGAUUGACAUGAGUGAUGCUCAUGGAUGUUGACAUGAGUGAUGCUCAUGAAUGUUUAUGUAUGAUUGGAUGAGUAAUGCUCAUGAAUGUUUAUGUAUGAUUGACAUGAGUAAUGCUCAUGUAUGAUUUGAAGUACUAGGCAUACUUUUGAUCACCUGGUUGGUGGCAUGAAGGAGAGUACGGGUUGUACAUUUCAUCACCUGGUUGGUGGCAUAAAUGGCUAGUUGCCAAAUGAUAUUAGAGUACGAGUUGUACAUUUCAUCACCUAGUUGGUGGCAUAAAUGGCUAGUUGCCAAAUGAUAUUAGAGUACGGGUUGUACAUUUCAUCACCUAGUUGGUGGCAUAAAUGGCUAGUUGCCAAAUGAUAUUAGAGUACGGGUUGUACAUUUCAUCACCUGGUUGGUGGCAUAAAUGGCUAGUUGCCAAAUGAUAUUAUAGUACAAGUUGUACAGUUCAUCACCUGGUUGGUGGCAUAAAUGGCUAGUUGCCAAAUGAUAUUAGAGUACGGGUUGUACAUUUCAUCACCUGGUUGGUGGCAUAAAUGGCUAGUUGCCAAAUGAUAUUAUAGUACGGGUUAUACAUUUCAUUACCUGGUUGGUGGUAAUAGCGGCAGGUUGCCGAAUAAUUUUUGGAGUACUGGGCGUACUUUUGAUCACCUAGUUGGUGGUAAUAACGGCAGGUUGCCGAAUAGUUGUGGAGUACUGGGCGUACUUUUGAUGACCUGGUUGGUGCUAUUUCGGGCUUAUGGGCUUUUGCCCUCCAUAACAUGCCAGCCCAUUUAUUUUGGGCUUUGCCUUUUUUUUUUUUUUUUUUUAAUACUAUUACCCUCUGAUGGGGUUUAUACAUAUUAAUUACCAUCUGAUAGGAUUUAUACAUAUUACCCUCUGAUGGGGUUUAUACAGAUGUCUUCAAAAGAUAAUAAAUUACAUCACUCUGGUAGGGUGUUUAUUUCUUGCUGUUGCUUCCUCUUUCUCUUUUCCUUUUGCUUUCCAUUGCGUCUCUGUCUCUUGGCGAAACUAGAGGGCUACCUCUCCUUGCUUUUCUUGGACAGCAAGGUCGUGCCCAUCACUCUUCUUUUUUCUUUUUCUCCACUCCAUUUCUUUGCCCAUCCAUGUUCCCCAUCCCUGUCUGAUGGGAUCCUUUAGGCGCAAUUUUUGAUAAUCUUCAAAUCCCUAAAGUAAAAUCAUCAUUGCAGGUAAUCAUUUUGUUUGCCAAACCACUUGCUUUUCUUGGACAGGUUGUGCACAUCCAUUCCCACUCCUCGUGCCCAUCAACAAAGAAAAACUGAGUAAAGGGAACUUUUCCAGGUCUUUGGUACUACCACCUUUUGACUUGAGACUUUUUCUCUUCCUAACUUGGUAGACAUAGAGAAUCACCAAUCAUAGUGCAGCUAUUCCGGCCAACGCAUCGUCAGAGACGUUGAGAAAUUGGAGGCCCUCGAGGCUGGAGACCAACUGAUCUGGCAGGUCGCCGGAGAUCACCUUGCUGGAGAGACAGAGGACCUGAAGUUCUACGUAUUGAAGGUCGCCAACCCAGAUGGUCUGAUCUCAUCGUUGGGCCCCUGUUUUGUGACGGCAGCUGCUGCUGCUGCAGCUGCUUCGACGGUUGUUGAUACACCACAGCCUGAGGCUUCUGCUGGUACUGAUUGUGGUGAGGAUGGUGAGGAGCCGCCCCGUAAGGCAUGUAACGUUGCGGUGGAGAGAGGGCGGCCGGAGCCGUCAUUGUCGACAAGCAUGGUGGCAAGGAUGACUUCGAUGCUAGUACUGGUGAUGAGGUCGAAGAAAUCGACGAUUUGAGCGUGGACGUCGCCAGUUUUGGGUCGGAUCUGAUCUUCGAGGUGGAUCAAGGUGGCUCUGGUUUAUGGAUAUAUUUCUCUGACACCUGUUCCCCUUGGAUGAGCACUUCCUGGACAGUUUUGGAUCCUAAUAACUCCAUCUUCGCAAGCUUUUGUAAUUUUGAGUUGCAAAUUAAAGAUCUGCAAACUGGGCGAGUGUGAUGACCCAGUCAUCCUUGUGGGCACCCCUGUAAAUGCUAGUGCCACCACAUGGUGGUGAUGCAGAAGAAGAUGGUGAUCCCUGAAUGAGCGAGCAAGUGCGGAGCAGAGUAUUGUGAUCGAAUGGUGCCUAGAAGCCGUUGUUGGGCUUCAGCAUCAGGUGAGUAUGGUUGGUUAACAAUCGCGAAGAGGUAACGCAAAGCCAUAUAAAGUAGCUACUGUGCAGAUUUGGAGGUUUACCGAUGUUGAAGGACAAUACUUUGAAGAGGAAGACUGGUGAAGUUUGAAGGACAGUGCUUUAAAGCAGUGCACGCACAUACGCACAGGGUGUGCGUUUUGGUGUUAAUGGGUCUUGGUUUUGGGCCAAUUGAGACUUGGACACUUUUGAGACAGAGCAGAGAAGAAAGAAGAGGGGGGUCGGUGUCUCUUGGGUUUUGCAGAUCCACGGUGGACAGUGGUGAGGUUUCACGGUGGUGAAAUGAAAAAUGAAAGAAAACCGACAUAGUUUUUUGUGUCGAUUCCCACAGACGGCGCCAAAUAUUGAUGCACAAAACUAGAUGUCUUGGAACAACGUAAAUCCGACCGUGAAUCUGCAAGUAAUGUAAAUAACACAAGAUGUAUCGUGGUUCACCCCAAGGUUUGGGCUACGUUCACACUGAUUGUAUUGUAUUUCUCUGUUGAAGAGGGAGAGAGAGAGCUUAGAGCUUAGGGGGUGUGAGGAAGCUUAGGGUUUGUGAGGGUGAGGAGGCCCUUUUAUAGAAUAAGGGCUCCUCCCCUAAUUACAUAUUUGCCCCUUCCUUUAUUACAUAAUUACAUUUAAGUCCCUCGAGUAUUUAUACGAGGUCUAAAUAUGAGGCCCUAAAUAUGGUAUAAACACAAGCCGCAUCUAUGAUGGGUUUUAGUGUGAUGGUUAUGUAUGUAUAAUGGGAUUGCAAGCCGCGUAAUAGUCAUGCAAAAGGAGAAGGAUAGGUCUCAGGAAGUUAUGGAACUAAGUACUAUUUAUCAAGGGGACUAAUCAUAUACUUUGUUUAUACUUAUACUUUGUUGUUUAUGUAUAAUGGGUUAUGCUGCAUUUGUUUUGUAUAGUUCAAUGCACCAUGAACCUGUUUCCUUUCUUCGAUAUCAGUUUAAUUCUUGCCUUGGUUGUUGUGGAGUAGUUGUAGGAUUAGGUUAUUAUAAAUAGGUGCGUUGUAAUUCAAUGUUGGGAGACUUGAUUUUGUCUUGCUGUAAACUGUAAAGGAUGAUUGGCCUUCCAGAUUUUGUCUUGAUUUUGUAUCAUUGGCCUUCCAGAUUUUAAUUAACAUUUACUUUUGCAUAAGUUUGUAGUACUAACUACUAUCUGCUUAUUAUUUUGUGUGAAUUAAAUGAAGUCAAAGGCGUCAAAGAUCUUAAGGGCCUCAAGCUCAAGUUCAAAGAUCAAAAUCAAAUAGCUUAUUUUAUCGAUUAUGCUGAAAUGGGACUUUGAUUUUAUUUAGGGUAACGAAAAGCACCUGGUACUGUUCACUUUAACGAAAAACCACAUUUUUACACUAAAAAGUCAAUCCUGGUACUAUUCACUUUACCCUUUAUUUUGUCCUUAUCAUUAAAACUCAAAGUUUUCAAGCCCUUUUCAUUAGUUUUCCUUUUUAUUUAUACUCCUUUGGAAGAUGUAUUACAAAAUGGUUGCAAGUUGUUUUCUUAGAAUUUUUUUUUUGCUAUUGGGAAGCACAAAAAAAAAAGAAAAAAAUACCGAACCGGGCCGAAACCGAACCGAAUACAAACCGAACGGAAAGCAAACCGAUAGAAAACCGAACCGAACCGAACCGAACAGUAAUUUCCGUUUGGUUUCCGAUUUUGGCAAAAAACCAAACCGAACGGAACCGAACCCACCCCUAAUGGCAUGUGUGUGUGGAAGAGAGAAAGAGAGAGAGAGACGUGAGAUAGAGGGAGAUAAAGAAAAUAUAUUUUUAAAAAAAAGAAGAAAAAGAAAUGAUGUGUGAUGGCACAAAAGUGUGGGUUUCAAAACCCAUAAAAAUACUUGCAUGGCCAUCCCUCAUCAUUAAGCCUCUUUUAAGGCUGAUUUUUUUUUCCCAGGCUAGACCAAGCAAUGAUGCACACUGCAUGAGGUCAGUUUUUAGAAUAUGAAUUUAUCUCAGGUAAAUUUAAACUGUUUCGAACAUAACUUCUUCUUUUUAACUUUGAAUUGAGUUUCGUUUGCGGCCACAUGUUUGUAAAAAUGAGUACUAUUUGAAAAUAGUAAAAUAAGACUGGAAAAGUGAAAGGAAAAUUGAGAUCCAUGUGGAAGGCCUACUUGGCAUCUUAGGAUAUUUGGGUAAUUUCACUACUACUGAUCUUGGGGCUAGAUGUCACAGUCUACCCCUCUUAAGAGUAUUUCAUCCUCGAAAUUAGAAGCAACAUAAUUUAAUCAUGGAAGAAAUAUGGAUACAAGUCUCUCACAUGUUUCUCUGUUCCCUAUGUAGCCUCUUUAGCAUAGUGGUUUCUUCGAAUUAUGUAUCACUUGCAUCUACGCAAUUGUAGUGACAAGCACUACGAGUGUGUGUCUCUUUGGGUUGAGCCAAAACAAUAAUUAAUUAGGCACGAGACCUAAUUUAUAAAAUACUACCGGAAAUGGGCCUACUUGCCCACUUGCUUAACAAACCCAAUGAAUAGGUUAUCGAUAUUACAGUUUGCAGCAUGCAAUACCAACAACCUAUUGUUGUCUCAAUAAAUAAGUAAUGGAAUCCCGAAGGUACAAAAUUAUUAUUUUGCCCUUCAUUGGGAAAGUGCAUAAAUCGUCCGAUUUUAUGCAUCGUUCACAUUGACGUGUUCGUAAGAACACGUACUACCUAGAAAGAUUUGAAAAGGAACAGGAAAUGAUAAUAACUCAGAUUUCCAUGCAUGAAAUCCACGUAGGAUUUCCACUUAGUCGACUAUAGGCAUUUCAAAAAAUUUAGGCAUUAAGGAAUAAAAUAAGAAUAAAUGUGGGACGGGAUUCUGCCAAGUGGUCUAGAGGGUGUCCUUGGGGACCAACAAAAGAUGGGCACCCUAGUAAGUCAUUCAACAAUCACCGAAAUAUCAUCAUAGUCUCCACGUGUACGAGGCUGUUUGUACAUGAAGUCCACGGUGAUAUUCUACCAUAUCCAUCCAGAUAUAAGGAAUGACUGUAACAACUCAAACAAUUUCUUUCUUCUUGCUUUGACUAGCUGACAAAUCAAGUUCUUGCUUAAUGCCUAAGCAAUCUCCUUUUUCAUUCUAGGUCAAAAGUAGAAGGGUUGGACUUGGAAAUUAGCUAACAAAGUUUCCUGAUGGUCUGUAAGUAACGUCACAUUAAUACUCGUGAGUUGUAACUGAAACAGGAUUUGACGAUCGAGUCAUCCAUGUGCUUUUCUGCUCAGAUCGUCAGCAACUACGUUUGCACAAUCGGGCUAGUACACGAUGGUGCGAUCAUAGACGUUGAUGAUUUAUUUUUUCCAUCGCCACUAUCUGCAAUUAAGCUUAUUCCAAGUGAAGAUGUAUUUCAAAGGUUGAAGGGAGUCGAUGAUGAUUUUGGCAUGUUUCUCCAUAGAGAAACCGCCAUCAAGUUUUUAGUGUAAAGGUAGCAAUUGUCAACUCUAAGUCAUACGUAAGAUAGUUCACUUCAUGUGGCCCUAGUUGUCAAAAGGCAUAAGCGAUUACCAACUUCUUUCUUGGUCAACUUUGUAAGGAAGAAGGCUAAGGUGGAGAAAGUUAGCACAUAUCGUCAAUGGUAAUUGACAAGACCAAUGAUACCUAGUAUAUCGCAAAACCUUGUAGGGGUUUCCAGUUUUCUACAAUUGCAACAUUUUUGGGGAUUGACAAGAAUGUCGUUUGCUGAGUGAUUACAAAAACCAAAAAAAGGCACAUGAUUUAAACAAAACUGACAUUUAGGAAAUUUAGUGUAAUGCUGAUUCGCUUUGAAAUUGUUUAGAUCAAAUCAUUAGGGUUUUGAAAGUUUGACUUCAUUAUUGAGAGUAAACAAGGAAGUUCUCGAUAAGGUUUUCAUGAAUCUUUCAGGAUAUGGGCAGAAUACGUGGUCCUUCAGGUUCAUGAACAAUAUUGGAGCAUUCGCCAACCCGCAUGACAUCACACGGAACUCAUAAUGAAUGAUAAGCUCAUAUUUAUAUAUAUUUUACAUCAAAUUCACUUGUCUUUUCUUAGUUAGUUACUUAUAUUUUUGAGCUAUUUACUUUGUUUUUGUGUUUUGUGUGAUUUGUCAACCAAAGAAAAGAAAAGUAGCACAAGUGGGAUAUUAAGUAAUAAAUUGUCAAAACUGUCUGUGCAGAUUAGCUGACUUUGGAAGUAUGUUGCGAUCAGCUCAGAAUAAAUGAGAGAAUGAGCCUUAUAUUCUUGGAAAGCUACGGAUGUCUAUUUUCUGGAGAAAUUCACAGAUUAUUAAUAUCAUUUUUCUAGAAGAAGUUAUGGGCAUUGUAACACUGAAAGGUUUAGAGAAGGGCUAAGCAGAUUUGGCUUAUAAAAUGAGAAAGUAAAGGCACAUGUUUUGUGUUUUGCUUUGUCAUCAACACUCAGCAGCAAAUGGGGUUAUGAUUGCACUCAUUUGCCUUUGGAGCAAGUGGAAAUGCACAGCUAGAAAAGAGGAUUAAAUGGAAAUAGUUGGCAGCCAACGAUGCAACAGAAAACAAAGGAAAAAAUGGAACUUUUCCUUUGUCAGCAAAUUCCAACAUCAAUCAUGAACACAAAUGGGUGGAGAAUAUGGAAUUAGCUAGUCCUCCACUUGGUUUAUGUGGCUUUGGCAAAGAAAAAGAAUCAAAUAAAACAGCAACAUAAAACAUACGGCAGAGGAGAGAAAAAGAAGAAGAAACACACAGCAAAAGAAAUAAAAAACAUACAGAAGAGAGCAAGAGGCACGACAGAGAGCAAGGAAGGAAAGAAGAAGAGGCUUCACUCUAUUUUUCUUGGUUUUAUCUUCUCAAACCCAUGUUUUACUUUUGGUUUAAUUUGAGAAUUAUGUGUAACUAAAUUUUAAGUAGUUAGGGGCUGUUUUGAAGCCCCGAAUAUGAUUGCAAGUCUGUUACGACAUUUCGUUGAAUUGCUUUUAUGAAUGGAUGAAAAUUGGUUUACUACUUAUGUCAGUGAUGAAUUCUUUAUAUGUUUUCUAUGGAUGCAUACUUAGUAAGCAUAUCUAGGAUUCAAAUGCUAUGAAUAUAUGUAUGCCUGCCCUUGUUGAAUGAGGACCUACAUAUGUUCUAGAGUAGUACUUGUUAAUUGCUAUUAACAUGUGAACCAAUUUCUAGGAUAAGUAAGACAACGCCAGUACUUACCAUGCCUUGUGAUGACUCAAACUCUUUUCGUUCUUAAUGAUUUCUACUUGUUAAAUCUAUGAACACACCAUUCUAGAUUGCAUGCUAGGGACUACAUUAAGUUGAAAAUGCCAUUCUCUUAACAUACUACGUAAGAAAGAGUAAUAGGUUGUGUUCUAACAUUGAGCCAACUUGAGCAUCUUCAUCCGGAAAUAAAAGAAAUUUGAAUGAAACAUAACAGGUUUGCAUGAUUAUUUGGUGGUGGAUAACAAUUCCCCUAACUCGUUUUUCUUAAACUUGUGAUCUACUCAAAAUCUGUUUCUGUACUGUUUUUGUACGAUUUAAUUUAAAUAGCAAAUCAACUCCAAAAAUCCCAAACAUUUGUGAGAGUGUCAUGCUGUGUGUCUAGUGUUUGCGUA